GUGCCUGCUUUGGCAGCACAUAUACUAAAAUUAGAACUACACAGAGAAGAUUAGGAUGGCCCCUGUGCAAGGAUAGCAUGCAAAUCUGUGAAGCAUUCCAUAUUUAA
rnacentral:snRNA from 1 species